rnacentral:ncRNA from 1 species
AAACUGAAGAGUUUGAUCAUGGCUCAGAUUGAACGCUGGCGGCAGGCCUAACACAUGCAAGUCGAGCGAGAAAGCACUUCGGUGUGAGUACAGCGGCGGACGGGUGAGUAACGCGUAGGAAUCUACCCAGUAGUGGGGGACAACAGUCGGAAACGGCUGCUAAUACCGCAUACGCCCUACGGGGGAAAGCGGGGGACCUUCGGGCCUCGCGCUAUUGGAUGAGCCUGCGUAAGAUUAGCUAGUUGGUGAGGUAAAGGCUCACCAAGGCGACGAUCUUUAGCUGGUCUGAGAGGAUGAUCAGCCA